AGUCUGUGAUGCAUUUAGAGUAGUGGACAGAUGUGAUUUCUGACAAAUUCAACUCUGAGACU
ensembl:snoRNA